GGAUCCAUAGCUCAAUGGCAGAGCAGGCGACUCAUAAUCGCUUGGUUGUAGGUUCGAAUCCUACUGGAUCCA
rnacentral:tRNA from 1 species